UACGUAGGGGGCUAGCGUUGUCCGGAAUCAUUGGGCGUAAAGCGCGUGUAGGCGGUUCGGUAAGUCCGCUGUGAAAGUCGGGGGCUCAACCCUCGGAUGCCGGUGGAUACUGUCGGGCUAGAGUACGGAAGAGGCGAGUGGAAUUCCUGGUGUAGCGGUGAAAUGCGCAGAUAUCAGGAGGAACACCGGUGGCGAAGGCGGGUCUCUGGGCCGAUGACUGACGCUGAGGAGCGAAGCAUGGGUAGCGAACAGG
rnacentral:rRNA from 1 species